rnacentral:rRNA from 1 species
AGCGUACACGGUGGAUGCCCUGGCAGUCAGAGGCGAUGAAGGACGUGCUAAUCUGCGAUAAGCGUCGGUAAGGUGAUAUGAACCGUUAUAACCGGCGAUUUCCGAAUGGGGAAACCCAGUGUGAUUCGUCACACUAUCAUUAACUGAAUCCAUAGGUUAAUGAGGCGAACCGGGGGAACUGAAACAUCUAAGUACCCCGAGGAAAAGAAAUCAACCGAGAUUCCCCCAGUAGCGGCGAGCGAACGGGGAGCAGCCCAGAGCCUGAAUCAGUGUGUGUGUUAGUGGAAGCGUCUGGAAAGGCGCGCGAUACAGGGUGACAGCCCCGUACACAAAAAUGCACAUGCUGUGAGCUCGAUGAGUAGGGCGGGACACGUGGUAUCCUGUCUGAAUAUGGGGGGACCAUCCUCCAAGGCUAAAUACUCCUGACUGACCGAUAGUGAACCAGUACCGUGAGGGAAAGGCGAAAAGAACCCCGGCGAGGGGAGUGAAAAAGAACCUGAAACCGUGUACGUACAAGCAGUGGGAGCACGCUUAGGCGUGUGACUGCGUACCUUUUGUAUAAUGGGUCAGCGACUUAUAUUCUGUAGCAAGGUUAACCGAAUAGGGGAGCCGAAGGGAAACCGAGUCUUAACUGGGCGUUAAGUUGCAGGGUAUAGACCCGAAACCCGGUGAUCUAGCCAUGGGCAGGUUGAAGGUUGGGUAACACUAACUGGAGGACCGAACCGACUAAUGUUGAAAAAUUAGCGGAUGACUUGUGGCUGGGGGUGAAAGGCCAAUCAAACCGGGAGAUAGCUGGUUCUCCCCGAAAGCUAUUUAGGUAGCGCCUCGUGAAUUCAUCUCCGGGGGUAGAGCACUGUUUCGGCAAGGGGGUCAUCCCGACUUACCAACCCGAUGCAAACUGCGAAUACCGGAGAAUGUUAUCACGGGAGACACACGGCGGGUGCUAACGUCCGUCGUGAAGAGGGAAACAACCCAGACCGCCAGCUAAGGUCCCAAAGUCAUGGUUAAGUGGGAAACGAUGUGGGAAGGCCCAGACAGCCAGGAUGUUGGCUUAGAAGCAGCCAUCAUUUAAAGAAAGCGUAAUAGCUCACUGGUCGAGUCGGCCUGCGCGGAAGAUGUAACGGGGCUAAACCAUGCACCGAAGCUGCGGCAGCGACGCUUAUGCGUUGUUGGGUAGGGGAGCGUUCUGUAAGCCUGUGAAGGUGUACUGUGAGGUAUGCUGGAGGUAUCAGAAGUGCGAAUGCUGACAUAAGUAACGAUAAAGCGGGUGAAAAGCCCGCUCGCCGGAAGACCAAGGGUUCCUGUCCAACGUUAAUCGGGGCAGGGUGAGUCGACCCCUAAGGCGAGGCCGAAAGGCGUAGUCGAUGGGAAACAGGUUAAUAUUCCUGUACUUGGUGUUACUGCGAAGGGGGGACGGAGAAGGCUAUGUUGGCCGGGCGACGGUUGUCCCGGUUUAAGCGUGUAGGCUGGUUUUCCAGGCAAAUCCGGAAAAUCAAGGCUGAGGCGUGAUGACGAGGCACUACGGUGCUGAAGCAACAAAUGCCCUGCUUCCAGGAAAAGCCUCUAAGCAUCAGGUAACAUCAAAUCGUACCCCAAACCGACACAGGUGGUCAGGUAGAGAAUACCAAGGCGCUUGAGAGAACUCGGGUGAAGGAACUAGGCAAAAUGGUGCCGUAACUUCGGGAGAAGGCACGCUGAUAUGUAGGUGAAGUCCCUCGCGGAUGGAGCUGAAAUCAGUCGAAGAUACCAGCUGGCUGCAACUGUUUAUUAAAAACACAGCACUGUGCAAACACGAAAGUGGACGUAUACGGUGUGACGCCUGCCCGGUGCCGGAAGGUUAAUUGAUGGGGUUAGCGCAAGCGAAGCUCUUGAUCGAAGCCCCGGUAAACGGCGGCCGUAACUAUAACGGUCCUAAGGUAGCGAAAUUCCUUGUCGGGUAAGUUCCGACCUGCACGAAUGGCGUAAUGAUGGCCAGGCUGUCUCCACCCGAGACUCAGUGAAAUUGAACUCGCUGUGAAGAUGCAGUGUACCCGCGGCAAGACGGAAAGACCCCGUGAACCUUUACUAUAGCUUGACACUGAACAUUGAGCCUUGAUGUGUAGGAUAGGUGGGAGGCUUUGAAGUGUGGACGCCAGUCUGCAUGGAGCCGACCUUGAAAUACCACCCUUUAAUGUUUGAUGUUCUAACGUUGACCCGUAAUCCGGGUUGCGGACAGUGUCUGGUGGGUAGUUUGACUGGGGCGGUCUCCUCCUAAAGAGUAACGGAGGAGCACGAAGGUUGGCUAAUCCUGGUCGGACAUCAGGAGGUUAGUGCAAUGGCAUAAGCCAGCUUGACUGCGAGCGUGACGGCGCGAGCAGGUGCGAAAGCAGGUCAUAGUGAUCCGGUGGUUCUGAAUGGAAGGGCCAUCGCUCAACGGAUAAAAGGUACUCCGGGGAUAACAGGCUGAUACCGCCCAAGAGUUCAUAUCGACGGCGGUGUUUGGCACCUCGAUGUCGGCUCAUCACAUCCUGGGGCUGAAGUAGGUCCCAAGGGUAUGGCUGUUCGCCAUUUAAAGUGGUACGCGAGCUGGGUUUAGAACGUCGUGAGACAGUUCGGUCCCUAUCUGCCGUGGGCGCUGGAGAACUGAGGGGGGCUGCUCCUAGUACGAGAGGACCGGAGUGGACGCAUCACUGGUGUUCGGGUUGUCAUGCCAAUGGCACUGCCCGGUAGCUAAAUGCGGAAGAGAUAAGUGCUGAAAGCAUCUAAGCACGAAACUUGCCCCGAGAUGAGUUCUCCCUGACUCCUUGA